rnacentral:rRNA from 1 species
CCUACGGGUGGCAGCAGUGGGGAAUAUUGGGCAAUGGAGGAAACUCUGACCCAGCAACGCCGCGUGAAUGAUGAAGGUCUUCGGAUUGUAAAGUUCUUUUCUAAGGGAAGAAGAACGUGACGGUUCCUUAGGAAUAAGCCUCGGCUAACUACGUGCCAGCAGCCGCGGUAAUCCGUCGGCGGCGAUCGUUAUCCGGAUUGACUGGGCGUAAAGGGUGCGUAGGUGGUUUGGCAAGUUAGUAGCGUAACUCCAAGGCUCAACCUUGGAACUGCAACUAAAACUGUUGGACUUGAGUGCAGGAGGGGCAAGCGGAAUUCGUAGUGUAGCGGUGGAAUGCGUAGAUAUUAGGAGGAACACCGGUGGCGAAGGCGGGUUGCUGGACUGUAACUGACGCUGAGGCACGAAAGCGUGGGGAGCGAACAGGAUUAGAUACCCCAGUAGUC